GACGAACGCUGGCGGCGUGCUUAACACAUGCAAGUCGAACGGUGUAGCUCCAGCUUGCUGGAGUGGAUCAGUGGCGAACGGGUGAGUAACACGUGAGCAACCUGCCCCUGAUUCUGGAAUAAGCGCUGGAAACGGCGGCUAAUACGGGAUACGCAUAGGGUCCGCAUGGGCACUUUCUGGAAAGUUUUUCGGUUGGGGAUGGGCUCGCGGCCUAUCAGCUUGUUGGUGAGGUAAUGGCUCACCACGGCGGCGACGGGUAGCCGGCCUGAGAGGGCGACCGGCCACACAGGGACUGAGGCACGGCCCAGACUCCUACGGGAGGCAGCAGUGGGGAAUAUUGCACAAUGGGCGAAAGCCUGAUGCAGCGACGCCGCGUGAGGGAUGACGGCCUGCGGGUUGUAAACUUCUUUUGCUCUGAACAAGGCGCACUUUUGGGUGUGUGGAGUGUAGGGGUUGAUUAGCGCCGGCUAACUACGUG
rnacentral:rRNA from 1 species